rnacentral:rRNA from 1 species
GUCCCGCAACGAGCGCAACCCUCGUUCUAUGUUGCCAGCACGUGAUGGUGGGAACUCAUAGGAGACUGCCGGGGUCAACUCGGAGGAAGGUGGGGAUGACGUCAAAUCAUCAUGCCCUUUAUGUCUUGGGCUUCACGCAUGCUACAAUGGCUGGUACAGAGAGAGGCGAACCCGUGAGGGCAAGCGAAUCCCUUAAAGCCAGUCUCAGUUCGGAUCGUAGUCUGCAAUUCGACUACGUGAAGUCGGAGUCGCUAGUAAUCGCAGAUCAGCAACGCUGCGGUGAAUACGUUCCCGGGCCUU